rnacentral:rRNA from 1 species
GAUGAACGCUGGCGGCGUGCCUAAUACAUGCAAGUCGAGCGAACGGACGAGAAGCUUGCUUUUCUGAUGUUAGCGGCGGACGGGUGAGUAACACGUGGAUAACCUACCUAUAAGACUGGGAUAACUUCGGGAAACCGGAGCUAAUACCGGAUAAUAUUUUGAACCGCAUGGUUCAAAAGUGAAAGACGGUCUUGCUGUCACUUAUAGAUGGAUCCGCGCUGCAUUAGCUAGUUGGUAAGGUAACGGCUUACCAAGGCAACGAUGCAUAGCCGACCUGAGAGGGUGAUCGGCCACACUGGAACUGAGACACGGUCCAGACUCCUACGGGAGGCAGCAGUAGGGAAUCUUCCGCAAUGGGCGAAAGCCUGACGGAGCAACGCCGCGUGAGUGAUGAAGGUCUUCGGAUCGUAAAACUCUGUUAUUAGGGAAGAACAUAUGUGGAAGUAACUGUGCACAUCUUGACGGUACCUAAUAAGAAAGCCACGACUAACUACGUG